CGGGGAGUGGCGCAGCGGUAGCGCACCUGCUUUGGGGGCAGGCGGUCGGGGGUUCAAAUCCCCCCUCCCCGA
rnacentral:tRNA from 2 species